CUACGUAGGGUGCGAGCGUUGUCCGGAAUUACUGGGCGUAAAGAGCUCGUAGGUGGUUUGUCGCGUCGUCUGUGAAAUUCCGGGGCUUAACUCCGGGCGUGCAGGCGAUACGGGCAUAACUUGAGUACUGUAGGGGAGACUGGAAUUCCUGGUGUAGCGGUGAAAUGCGCAGAUAUCAGGAGGAACACCGGUGGCGAAGGCGGGUCUCUGGGCAGUAACUGACGCUGAGGAGCGAAAGCAUGGGUAGCGAACAGGAUUAGAUCCCCUGGUAGCCCAUGCCGUAAACGGUGGGCGCUAGGUGUAGGGGUCUUCCACGACUUCUGUGCCGUAGCUAACGCAUUAAGCGCCCCGCCUGGGGAGUACGGCCGCAAGGCUAAAACUCAAAUGAAUUGACGGGG
rnacentral:rRNA from 1 species